AGCCUUAGCGUGAUGGCAUAAAAGUAGCGUAAGUGAUUUGUUUUUUUAAUGGUUUCAAGUAUGAAUGAAGUUUUUAACAGCUUUUUUGCUUAUUUUUUAUUUGAAUUAUUUUUUUGAUUAAAAAUUAUUGGUUAAAGUAUUACAAAGAUAAGUCUUCGGAAAUUUUGUUUUAAAUUUCAAAGUUUUUUGUUUUUAAUUUUUUCUUGGGGAUGGAUUUUAAGAAAAUUUUAUACUAUUUUUAUUCUUAAAAAUUACUCCGGAGUUAACAGGGUUGUAGACAUAUAAAUAGGUUUUUAUAUUAGUAUGCUGCGCUACAUCGAUGUUGUAUAUUUUUUUUAAUAGUGGAGAGAGGUUUUCUAUUUUGAGACUGUUCUUCUUGUAUAAAAAAUUGACUUGAUAUUAGUUUAGUUCGUCGUGAGACAGAGCGGUUUAUCUUGUGUAUUUUUAGUUUUUGACGGUGUUAGUACGAAAGGAAUGCAAUGUGGGU
rnacentral:rRNA from 1 species